CCGAGUUUACAACUCCCAAACCCCUGUGAACAUACCUUUAUGUCGCCUCGGCGGAUCAGCCCGCGCCCCGUAAAACGGGACGGCCCGCCGCAGGAAACCCUAAACUCUGUUUUUAGUGGAACUUCUGAGUAUAAAAAACAAAUAAAUCA
rnacentral:misc_RNA from 1 species